UACGCAGGGUGCAAACGUUGCUCGGAAUUAUUGGGCGUAAAGCGCACGUAGGCGGCUUUGCAAGUCGGAUGUGAAAUCCCUCGGCUCAACCAAGGAAGUGCAUCCGAAACUGCAGAGCUUGAGUACUUAAGAGGAUCGCGGAAUUCCCGGUGUAGAGGUGAAAUUCGUAGAUAUCGGGAGGAACACCAGUGGCGAAGGCGACUACCUGGCCUGUUCUUGACGCUGAGGCGCGAAAGCUAGGGGAGCAAACGGG
rnacentral:rRNA from 1 species